CCUCUACUUAACUUCAGCUAAGAUCACAUGUUUAUGGCCAUUUUAUAAUCAUCUGAUCAGUGACAGAUUGGUACUGGCACAUACCAAUAUUGUCUGAAAAGGACCGGGAAGCAGAAGCUUCAACAACGAUUCUGCAUCCUGCUCAUUGUCAGGAGCUCAGCCUCAUUCUGAGCACCAGUCAUAAUCCUAGUCAGUAAAAAACCCUCCAUAAAUACAGAGAUAAGGAGCAACAUCCCUCCUUGAGAACAAGGGCGUUCUUUGGAUAGGCAGCAACAGCAACAGCGACUGACGAAAAUGAACUGAGCAGGGCUGAAGCAGCGGAUGGUUGUGUCGCAGGAAGCAGAGUCAGAGCGCUGCGUCAGCUCCUCUAUGUAGGUGUCGUAGGUGUUGGUACAGAGAGAGAAGUGAAGUCAGAGAUAGCUGUGUCGUAGCAGAGGAUGACUAAGACGGGUAGGGGAGGAGCUCCCCAUUGCAGAUGGCUCAGCAGAGAAUAAGGACAGCAAGUUUCAUGUUUCUGUGGAGCGCUGCGUUUUCUGCAGAAGAAAAAGCCUCGCAACUCGUCGCAGAGGUUUCCUGCUUCAUUAAGACAUUUUCCCAAAUUGUUUCCAGCAUAUUCAUUGUCUCAUGGAAAUCUACUCUAACACUUCAUUUGUUCAACUGUUUGGACUUGACUGCAUAUCUUAUAUCAAAUGUUGCCAUUUGAUAUAAGAAGGGAUAUAGAUAUGUUCUUUGUCCUAUAUGUGUGAGUUUAAUAGUUUUUCUUUCAUGUGGACUCCUCUGAGAGUCACUCUGCUUUUUCAAGAUCAAAUUAUACUCUGCAUAAAAAUCAUAGCUGACUAUUUGGAGAACUUCAGCAUGAUUGAAAAAUGUGUGCAUUUCUGAGUUUUCAGUCCUGCCAUUCAGCUCCUUACCCUUCUCCCUCCCCCCUUCAAGGUUCCUUCCUCUCCUGAAGCCAUCUCAUUUUUUCACCUCACAUUGCAGAACUUUCAAAAUCCUUAUCAUGGGAGGAAAUUCAGGAGUUGAGAGUAUAUUACUCUGUACCAUGUACAAAAUACACACUCGUUUGUUCACUAAAGGAACUAAUUUGGAAUGAGCUUCGUGGCAGGAUGGGUCUUAGAACAGCAUUUUCUUUCAAGCAGAAAGCUCACUGGUGCAUAUUACAGUAAGAUCUUAGCCACUCUGUUUAGGUUCACCACACAUUUUAGUUAGGUUCCUUUUUAUUUUCAGUGAUACCCGUGUCAAUAUGAUUUUCACAUUCUCCAAGAAGUGUAAUGCAGGAAUAUGCAAGGUGGGACUUAGGCAACAUAGUUCCCAGUAUCAUUUGCAAGGCACAAACACAGCAAUUACACACACACACACAUAUAGACAUACACACAUGCACACAAGGCCUAUAAUUACAAACCAACAUUAUUGACUCCAUAAGCUCUGGGCUGAGAAUAGUUGACACAGAAGGAAACAAGGCAUAAAAAGUUCUCUGAAAUUACUCCAAUAUUGCAAAGAGAGCUACUGCUGUCUCCCCUCUGAUUCC
rnacentral:lncRNA from 1 species